rnacentral:lncRNA from 1 species
GCCCCGCGCGAAGAUGGGAGCCGGCCCGGUGUUUCACGCCAGCGCGUGGCCUCCGCCAGCGUGCUCGGCUCUCUCGUUGCAGGGUGUCAGGCAGAGUGGAAGGAGAGGAGGAGAAGGGAAGUCGGGGACGUCGGUCAUGUCUAGGCGCUGGUGUUCUGGGUGAGUGAGUGCCCUUUGUUCUCUUCCUUCUCCUCUUCCAAAGGGUUCAUUUCAUCACAGGGAAAAGGUCAGUGGUUCUGGUGGUUCAGCAAGCCUCAAGAAGGGGAGACUCC